rnacentral:rRNA from 1 species
UACGUAGGGAGCAAGCGUUGUCCGGAUUUACUGGGUGUAAAGGGUGCGUAGGCGGCUCUGCAAGUCAGGUGUGAAAACCAUCGGCUUAACUGAUGGACUGCAUUUGAAACUGUGGGGCUUGAGUGAAGUAGAGGCAGGCGGAAUUCCCGGUGUAGCGGUGAAAUGCGUAGAGAUCGGGAGGAACACCAGUGGCGAAGGCGGCCUGCUGGGCUUUAACUGACGCUGAGGCACGAAAGCAUGGGUAGCAAACAGGAUUAGAUACCCUGGUAGUCCAUGCCGUAAACGAUGAUUACUAGGUGUGGGGGGUCUGACCCCUUCCGUGCCGGAGUUAACACAAUAAGUAAUCCACCUGGGGAGUACGACCGCAAGGUUGAA